rnacentral:rRNA from 1 species
AGUGAACGCUGGCGGUAGGCCUAACACAUGCAAGUCGAACGGCAGCACAGUAAGAGCUUGCUCUUACGGGUGGCGAGUGGCGGACGGGUGAGGAAUACAUCGGAAUCUACUUUUUCGUGGGGGAUAACGUAGGGAAACUUACGCUAAUACCGCAUACGACCUACGGGUGAAAGCAGGGGAUCUUCGGACCUUGCGCGAUUGAAUGAGCCGAUGUCGGAUUAGCUAGUUGGCGGGGUAAAGGCCCACCAAGGCGACGAUCCGUAGCUGGUCUGAGAGGAUGAUCAGCCGCACUGGAACUGAGACACGGUCCAGACUCCUACGGGAGGCAGCAGUGGGGAAUAUUGGACAAUGGGCGCAAGCCUGAUCCAGCCAUACCGCGUGGGUGAAGAAGGCCUCCGGGUUGUAAAGCCCUUUUGUUGGGAAAGAAAAGCAGCAGGUUAAUACCCCGCUGUUCUGACGGUACCCAAAGAAUAAGCACCGGCUAACUUCGUG